AGCGUACACGGUGGAUGCCUAGGCAGUCAGAGGCGAUGAAGGACGUGCUAAUCUGCGAUAAGCGCCGGUAAGGUGAUAUGAACCGUUAUAACCGGCGAUUUCCGAAUGGGGAAACCCAGUGCAAUUCGUUGCACUAUCAUUACCUGAAUACAUAGGGUAAUGAAGCGAACCGGGAGAACUGAAACAUCUAAGUACCCCGAGGAAAAGAAAUCAAACGAGAUUCCCCCAGUAGCGGCGAGCGAACGGGGAGCAGCCCAGGACCUUAAUCAGCAUCAGUGUUAAGAGAACAGUCUGGAAAGGCUGGCCACAGCAGGUGAUAGCCCUGUAUCUGAAAGCACUGGUGUUGUGAGUCCGAUGAGUAAGGCGGGACACGUGUUAUCCUGUCUGAAUACGGGGGGACCAUCCUCCAAGGCUAAAUACUCCUGACUGACCGAUAGUGAACCAGUACCGUGAGGGAAAGGCGAAAAGAACCCCGGCGAGGGGAGUGAAAAAGAACCUGAAACCGUGUACGUACAAGCAGUGGGAGCACCCUUCGGGGUGUGACUGCGUACCUUUUGUAUAAUGGGUCAGCGACUUAUAUUCUGUAGCAAGGUUAACCGGAUAGGGGAGCCGCAGGGAAACCGAGUCUUAACUGGGCGAAUUAGUUGCAGGGUAUAGACCCGAAACCCGGUGAUCUAGCCAUGGGCAGGUUGAAGGUUGGGUAACACUAACUGGAGGACCGAACCGACUAAUGUUGAAAAAUUAGCGGAUGACUUGUGGCUGGGGGUGAAAGGCCAAUCAAACCGGGAGAUAGCUGGUUCUCCCCGAAAGCUAUUUAGGUAGCGCCUCGUGAACUCAUCUCCGGGGGUAGAGCACUGUUUCGGCUAGGGGGUCAUCCCGACUUACCAACCCGAUGCAAACUGCGAAUACCGGAGAAUGUUAUCACGGGAGACACACGGCGGGUGCUAACGUUCGUCGUGAAGAGGGAAACAACCCAGACCGCCGGCUAAGGUCCCAAAGUCAUAAUUAAGUGGGAAACGAAGUGGGAAGGCUCAGACAGCCAGGAUGUUGGCUUAGAAGCAGCCAUCAUUUAAAGAAAGCGUAAUAGCUCACUGGUCGAGUCGGCCUGCGCGGAAGAUGUAACGGGGCUAAAUUAUGCACCGAAGCCGCGGCAGCGAUAUGUAAAUAUUGUUGGGUAGGGGAGCGUUCUGUAAGCCUGUGAAGGUGACCUGUGAGGGUUGCUGGAGGUAUCAGAAGUGCGAAUGCUGACAUAAGUAACGAUAAUGCGGGUGAAAAACCCGCACGCCGGAAGACCAAGGGUUCCUGUCCAACGUUAAUCGGGGCAGGGUGAGUCGACCCCUAAGGCGAGGCUGAAAAGCGUAGUCGAUGGGCAACGGGUUAAUAUUCCCGUACUGGUGGUAACUGCGAAGGGGGGACGGAGAAAGCUAAAUCAUCCGGGCGACGGUUGUCCCGGUUUAAGCGUGCAGGUGGACUGACCAGGCAAAUCCGGUCGGUUGUUAACACUGAGGCGUGACGACGAGCCACUACGGUGGUGAAGUGAUUGAUGCUCUGCUUCCGGGAAAAGCCUCUAAGCUCCAGGUUACCAUUAAUCGUACCCCAAACCGACACAGGUGGUCAGGUAGAGAAUACUCAGGCGCUUGAGAGAACUCGGGUGAAGGAACUAGGCAAAAUGGUGCCGUAACUUCGGGAGAAGGCACGCUGGCAUUAGGUGAAGUGGUUUACCCAUGGAGCUGAAGCCAGCCGCAGAUACCAGCUGGCUGCAACUGUUUAUUAAAAACACAGCACUGUGCAAACACGAAAGUGGACGUAUACGGUGUGACGCCUGCCCGGUGCCGGAAGGUUAAUUGAUGAGGUCAGCCGCAAGGCGAAGCUUCUGAUCGAAGCCCCGGUAAACGGCGGCCGUAACUAUAACGGUCCUAAGGUAGCGAAAUUCCUUGUCGGGUAAGUUCCGACCUGCACGAAUGGCGUAAUGAUGGCCAGGCUGUCUCCACCCGAGACUCAGUGAAAUUGAACUCGCUGUGAAGAUGCAGUGUACCCGCGGCAAGACGGAAAGACCCCGUGAACCUUUACUAUAGCUUGACACUGAACAUUGAGCCUUGAUGUGUAGGAUAGGUGGGAGGCAAUGAAGUGUGGACGCCAGUCUGCACGGAGCCAUCCUUGAAAUACCACCCUUUAACGUUUGAUGUUCUAACCCGGGUCCAUAAUCUGGAUCGGGGACCGUGUCUGGUGGGUAGUUUGACUGGGGCGGUCUCCUCCCAAAGAGUAACGGAGGAGCACGAAGGUUGGCUAAGCAUGGUCGGACAUCAUGCGGUUAGUGCAAAGGCAUAAGCCAGCUUGACUGCGAGAGUGACGGCUCGAGCAGGUACGAAAGUAGGUCUUAGUGAUCCGGUGGUUCUGAAUGGAAGGGCCAUCGCUCAACGGAUAAAAGGUACUCCGGGGAUAACAGGCUGAUACCGCCCAAGAGUUCAUAUCGACGGCGGUGUUUGGCACCUCGAUGUCGGCUCAUCACAUCCUGGGGCUGAAGUAGGUCCCAAGGGUAUGGCUGUUCGCCAUUUAAAGUGGUACGCGAGCUGGGUUUAGAACGUCGUGAGACAGUUCGGUCCCUAUCUGCCGUGGGCGCUGGAAGAUUGAGAGGGGUUGCUCCUAGUACGAGAGGACCGGAGUGAACGCACCACUGGUGUACGGGUUGUGAUGCCAAUUGCAUUGCCCGGUAGCUAAGUGCGGAAGAGAUAACCGCUGAAAGCAUCUAAGCGGGAAACUUGCCUCGAGAUGAGUCUUCCCUGACCCUUUAAGGGUCCUGAAGGAACGUUUGA
rnacentral:rRNA from 1 species